rnacentral:rRNA from 1 species
CAGUCGAACGCACAGCGAAAGGUGCUUGCACCUUUCAAGUGAGUGGCGAACGGGUGAGUAACACGUGGACAACCUGCCUCAAGGCUGGGGAUAACAUUUGGAAACAGAUGCUAAUACCGAAUAAAACUUAGUGUCGCAUGACACAAAGUUAAAAGGCGCUUCGGCGUCACCUAGAGAUGGAUCCGCGGUGCAUUAGUUAGUUGGUGGGGUAAAGGCCUACCAAGACAAUGAUGCAUAGCCGAGUUGAGAGACUGAUCGGCCACAUUGGGACUGAGACACGGCCCAAACUCCUACGGGAGGCUGCAGUAGGGAAUCUUCCACAAUGGGCGAAAGCCUGAUGGAGCAACGCCGCGUGUGUGAUGAAGGCUUUCGGGUCGUAAAGCACUGUUGUAUGGGAAGAACAGCUAGAAUAGGAAAUGAUUUUAGUUUGACGGUACCAUACCAGAAAGGGACGGCUAAAUACGUGCCAGCAGCCGCGGUAAUACGUAUGUCCCGAGCGUUAUCCGGAUUUAUUGGGCGUAAAGCGAGCGCAGACGGUUUAUUAAGUCUGAUGUGAAAGCCCGGAGCUCAACUCCGGAAUGGCAUUGGAAACUGGUUAACUUGAGUGCAGUAGAGGUAAGUGGAACUCCAUGUGUAGCGGUGGAAUGCGUAGAUAUAUGGAAGAACACCAGUGGCGAAGGCGGCUUACUGGACUGCAACUGACGUUGAGGCUCGAAAGUGUGGGUAGCAAACAGGAUUAGAUACCCUGGUAGUCCACACCGUAAACGAUGAACACUAGGUGUUAGGAGGUUUCCGCCUCUUAGUGCCGAAGCUAACGCAUUAAGUGUUCCGCCUGGGGAGUACGACCGCAAGGUUGAAACUCAAAGGAAUUGACGGGGACCCGCACAAGCGGUGGAGCAUGUGGUUUAAUUCGAAGCAACGCGAAGAACCUUAC